rnacentral:rRNA from 1 species
GUAGUCCACGCCGUAAACGAUGAGUGCUAAGUGUUAGAGGGUUUCCGCCCUUUAGUGCUGCAGCAAACGCAUUAAGCACUCCGCCUGGGGAGUACGGUCGCAAGACUGAAACUCAAAGGAAUUGACGGGGGCCCGCACAAGCGGUGGAGCAUGUGGUUUAAUUCGAAGCAACGCGAAGAACCUUACCAGGUCUUGACAUCCCACUGCCCGGUAUAGAGAUAUACCUUUCCCUUCGGGGACAGUGGUGACAGGUGGUGCAUGGUUGUCGUCAGCUCGUGUCGUGAGAUGUUGGGUUAAGUCCCGCAACGAGCGCAACCCUUGAUCUUAGUUGCCAGCAUUCAGUUGGGCACUCUAAGGUGACUGCCGGUGACAAACCGGAGGAAGGUGGGGAUGACGUCAAAUCAUCAUGCCCCUUAUGACCUGGGCUACACACGUGCUACAAUGGAUGGUACAAAGGGCUGCAAGACUGCGAAGUCAAGCGAAUCCCAUAAAACCAUUUUCAGUUCGGAUUGCAGGCUGCAACUCGCCUGCAUGAAGCUGGAAUCGCUAGUAAUCGCGGAUCAGCAUGCCGCGGUGAAUA